rnacentral:rRNA from 1 species
CUCAUCAACGGUGACUUCAACCUGAUCUACGAGGCGCGCGACAAAAACAACACCAACAUAAACCGUAGGAUCAUGGGAAAAUUUCAAACUGAGAUCGACGCAGCAGGGCUCAAGGAGAUCAAGUGCAAGAACAGAAGAUUCACGUGGAGCAACGAGCACGUGUCACCAACCCUAGUUAGGAUAGAUAAAUUUUUCUGCACCAUGGCUUGGGCCUCCAUGUUUCCCUCCUACCUCCUUCACGCCGCUUCCACCUCGUGCUUUGACCACUACCCGUUGCUGCUGUCAGAGGCGGCGGCCCCUCACCGCGCGGCUCGCUUCCGCUUCAAGUCUUUCUGGCUGAGAUUCCCUCGCUUCCACACUACGGUGCAGAGGGCGUGGGAUCGCCCAGUCGCCUCAAGCUAUGCUUUCAAGAGAAUCAGCACAAAGCUCGCGCGAGUGGCCCGAGACCUAAAGAUUUGGGCCAAGGGCUUCUUCAGUGAGACAAAGCUUCAAAUGCACAUCGCAAACGAGAUCGUGUUCCGCCUCGACAUAGCUCAGGAGAGUAGGCAACUAACAGUAGAUGAACUCCAGCUGCAGAAAUGGCUCAAGAUGCGAGUCCUUGGACUCGCCUCCAUCGAGAGGGCGCGUAAGAGAUAG